GCUCUUUGGCCCUCUACACAUUUCUCACAUCCACAUCAGGCCUCCUGAGUUGCUGCAAAUUUCACUGUAAGCUCAUCGAAUGGAGAAACCAUCUUGGUCAUCUACAUCAGCCUGGCACGUGAUAAGCAGUAAAGAUUUGAUGAAUGAAUCAGCGAAAAAAGACAGCUACAUUCCAGAACUUGAUCCAGAAUUGAUCUCCUUGUUGCCAUUUUAUGGGAUAUGAUACAUUUAUGAGCCUCACAAUUGAUAUGGACAGGAGACAGGGAAAUACUGGGUAGAAGAAGGCAGUUCCCCGGCAAAGGCCCCAUCCUCAAGCCUGGAGACCAACAGCCCUAAGUGGAGACAGCAUUUCUGUUUUCAUGCCCCAAAAAUUACCUUUUGGCCUGCCAUGCCUCACUAUCCUGCACCCAUAUAAAUCCCAAACCCCACGCUCCAGAAACAGAGAAGCAGGCAAGGAAACAAGACAAGCAGACAAAUGGAAGAACAACACAGCAGAGAAAGAGAGAAGAGGAGGAACGUCUGAAUGCUGAGAGGAGUUCAGCUGGGGGUGGUAGGAGAGGAGUUCAGCUGCUGGAUAGCCAGGCUCCAGGGGAAGAUCAUCUUCCCACUCCAUUCCCUCUUCCGGCUCCCCAUCCAUCCUGCUGAGAGCCACCUCCAUCACUCAAUAAAACCCCACAUUCAACCUUCA
rnacentral:lncRNA from 10 species